rnacentral:misc_RNA from 1 species
GAUGAAGAACGCAGCGAAAUGCGAUACGUAAUGUGAAUUGCAGAAUUCAGUGAAUCAUCGAAUCUUUGAACGCAUAUUGCGCUCUCUGGUAUUCCGGAGAGCAUGCUUGUUUGAGUAUCAGUAAACACCUCAACUUCCAUAUCUUUUUUGAAAUGGGAGUUGGACUUGAGUGAUCCCAACGCUUUUCCUCACCGAAAAGUGGCGGGUUACUUGAAAUGCAGGUGCAGCUGGACUUUUCUCUGAGCUAUAAGCAUAUCUAUUUAGUCUGCCUAAAAAACAGAUUAUUACCUUUGCUGCAGCUAACAUAAAGGAGAUUAGUUCUUGUGCUGACUGAUGCAGGAUUCACAAAGACAGGCUUCGGCCGACUUUGUAAACUCGAUCUCAAAUCAAGUAAGACUACCCGCUGAACUUUAGCAUAUCAAUAAGCGGAGGA